CAGCUCCGGCCGCCAUGGCGGCCGCGGGAAUUCGAUUUACGGUUACCUUGUUACGACUUCACCCCAGUCAUCGGCCACACCGUGGUAAGCGUCCCCCUUGCGGUUAGACUACCUACUUCUGGUGCAACAAACUCCCAUGGUGUGACGGGCGGUGUGUACAAGGCCCGUGAACGUAUUCACCGCGGCAUUCUGAUCCGCGAUUACUAGCGAUUCCGACUUCAUGGAGUCGAGUUGCAGACUCCAAUCCGGACUACGAUCGGCUUUUUGAGAUUAGCAUCCUAUCGCUAGGUAGCAACCCUUUGUACCGACCAUUGUAGCACGUGUGUAGCCCUGGCCGUAAGGGCCAUGAUGACUUGACGUCGUCCCCGCCUUCCUCCAGUUUGUCACUGGCAGUAUCCUUAAAGUUCCCGACAUUACUCGCUGGCAAAUAAGGAAAAGGGUUGCGCUCGUUGCGGGACUUAACCCAACAUCUCACGACACGAGCUGACGACAGCCAUGCAGCACCUGUAUGUAAGUUCCCGAAGGCACCAAUCCAUCUCUGGAAAGUUCUUACUAUGUCAAGGCCAGGUAAGGUUCUUCGCGUUGCAUCGAAUUAAACCACAUGCUCCACCGCUUGUGCGGGCCCCCGUCAAUUCAUUUGAGUUUUAGUCUUGCGACCGUACUCCCCAGGCGGUCUACUUAUCGCGUUAGCUGCGCCACUAAAGCCUCAAAGGCCCCAACGGCUAGUAGACAUCGUUUACGGCAUGGACUACCAGGGUAUCUAAUCCUGUUUGCUCCCCAUGCUUUCGCACCUCAGCGUCAGUGUUAGGCCAGAUGGCUGCCUUCGCCAUCGGUAUUCCUCCAGAUCUCUACGCAUUUCACCGCUACACCUGGAAUUCUACCAUCCUCUCCCACACUCUAGCUAACCAGUAUCGAAUGCAAUUCCCAAGUUAAGCUCGGGGAUUUCACAUUUGACUUAAUUAGCCGCCUACGCGCGCUUUACGCCCAGUAAAUCCGAUUAACGCUUGCACCCUCUGUAUUACCGCGGCUGCUGGCACAGAGUUAGCCGGUGCUUAUUCUGCGAGUAACGUCCACUAUCUGAAGGUAUUAACUUCAGUAGCCUCCUCCUCGCUUAAAGUGCUUUACAACCAUAAGGCCUUCUUCACACACGCGGCAUGGCUGGAUCAGGCUUGCGCCCAUUGUCCAAUAUUCCCCACUGCUGCCUCCCGUAGGAGUCUGGGCCGUGUCUCAGUCCCAGUGUGGCGGAUCAUCCUCUCAGACCCGCUACAGAUCGUCGCCUUGGUAGGCCUUUACCCCACCAACUAGCUAAUCCGACUUAGGCUCAUCUAUUAGCGCAAGGUCCGAAGAUCCCCUGCUUUCUCCCGUAGGACGUAUGCGGUAUUAGCAUUCCUUUCGAAAUGUUGUCCCCCACUAAUAGGCAGAUUCCUAAGCAUUACUCACCCGUCCGCCGCUAAGUGAUAGUGCAAGCACCAUCACUCCGCUCGACUUGCAUGUGUUAAGCCUGCCGCCAGCGUUCAAUCUGAGCCAUAAUCAAACUCUAAUCACUAGUGAAUUCGCGGCCGCCUGCAGGUCGACCAUAUGGGAGAGCUCCCAACGCGUGAGUAGUG
rnacentral:rRNA from 1 species